rnacentral:ncRNA from 2 species
UACUUAUCUAGAGAGGUGGAGGGAACGGCCCUAUGAAACCACAGCAACCCUUAUUUACUACAAAUAAGAAGGUGCUAAUUCCGCAAGUCUUUUGAAAGAUAAGAG